rnacentral:rRNA from 1 species
AUUCCAGCUCCAAUAGCGUAUAUUAAAGUUGUUGCGGUUAAAAAGCUCGUAGUUGGAGUUCUGCCAGGUGCCACCUGUCCGCCCCAGUGGUGAGUACGUGGUGCGCAUUUGGCCCUUUCAAGGGGAGCGUAUUUGCACUUAAUUGUGUGGUGCGGGAUCCUUGACUUUUACUUUGAGGAAAUAAGAGUGUUCCAAGCAGGCUCUCGUCGUGCAUAGCUCAGCAUGGAAUAAUAGCAUUGGAUCUCGAUUCCAAACUGUUGGUUGUAGGAAACGAGAUAAUGAUGAAGAGGGAUAGUUGGGGGCAUUCGUAUUUAACUGUCAGAGGUGAAAUUCUUGGAUUGGUUAAAGACGAACUACUGCGAAAGCAUCUGCCAUGGAUGUUUUCAUUA